GUUGUCAUCUACUCUGUGGACUUCCUCCCUCAGGCAGUAGCUCAGAAAGGCAGCGACUUCUCUGACUGGUCAAGCAGUCUACCAUCAAUACCGCAUGACAUGGGUAGCAUUGUGAAUUGCCAACAUAGAAAUGACUCCUCUAAAUGCAAGGCUAGGAGCAGUGCAAUUGCUGAGACAGGUGACACCAGUUCACCGCACAUACAUUCUGGCACUUCAUCAAUUGCCUCAAGCCAAAGCACAUUUGCGUCUUCAUUUGAGGCCUGGGGUCGGGUGUCUCUGGGUAUGCGUGUUGCUGUCAUCUCUGCAUCAGACUUUGACAGCGUAGGUCAUUGUCAGGCAGCUGAUACAAGCUGCAGCAGUGAAGCCUGACACUAAUCUUGUGUGAUGAUCCAGACUUUCGGUCAUGAUGUGUGUCUUGUGGCCAAUAUCUGCUUUCAUUCUUCGUGAUCCUGGAGCUGUUGAAGCUCAGACGGAGGAUCUCUGAUGUGCCCCUGUGUUGCUCCUUUGCAUGCCAUUACUAUCGUACAUGCCACAUGUACAUUGCAACAAGGCAGGCAUAGAG
rnacentral:lncRNA from 1 species